rnacentral:rRNA from 1 species
AACUAAACAUAGCUCAAAAUAUAUAACAUACUACUAUUCCAAUAACAUUAAAACUAAAACAUUUAUUAUAAUAAAAGUAUAGGUGAUAGAAAUUCUACAUGACGCUAUAGAGAAAGUACCGUAAGGGAAAAAAUGAAAGA